GACACUAUCAUCUACAUAGUCCAGUCCAAGUUAUGCAUUAAGAGGUACAAAUCCUCAGUGGGGACCAUUUUCUGCACACGAGAAGAGCUGAGAAGACUAUCCUGGCUAUAGGGCUGAGGGAACUUUGAAGAUGAAGCUAUCCUUCAACAUAUUCUUCUUUGGAUGGUGGUUGGCCAGGCAAUGUUGGAUUUCUAGAGGUCAAACUCUUUCAACACCUUUGAUAUCUACCGACUCCAACGGGAUGGUUGCUUUGGGAGAAGAGGUCACCAUUGUCUGCAGAAGCCAGGAUGAUUUUCAUGGAACAUUCUAUCUCACCGGAUUUAAAAGCUUAAGUGAUGAUGGGGAAACUGUAACAACUAAGGAGGCAGCAUUCAGUCAGGCUGAAUUUUUCUUCAAAUUCCUUAGAAAAUCACAGGGGGGCAUCUACAGCUGCAGAUCUUGCCUGGAUGGAUGGGGAUGCUCAUCCUAUAGUGAUAAAAUCUAUCUCAACCUAACAGAUCCCAGCCUGACCAAGCCUUUCAUCCAGAUUUUAAAUACAAAAGAUUAUCCAUACUUCCCCAUACAGUGUGAGGGGACAAAACCUCACCUAACAUUUGCUGUUAUGAACUCAAGGCAGCUGAUACAUUACAUGGCUGCAGAGCCAGGGGAAAAGAGAGUGGUUUUUCAUCUCAGCUCCUUGAGGUUGAAAGAGGCAGAACGUUAUACCUGCCGGUACCACGAGGAAAGCAGCCCCUUUGUCUGGUCAGUGCCAAGUGACCCACUGGAGUUGCCUUUGAGAGAUCCUGAGAUGAUGAAUCCCACCAUGAAGACGAUACCUGGAGGGCCCAAUGCUUCAGGUUUUCUUAACUCACACUUAUGGGCCGGCAUCGGGGUGAGCGUUUUACUGCUUGUUGUGUUGCUGCUGGCUGUGGUACUGUACAGAAAAAGGAGAAAAAGUAAGUGGAGUUGAUCUUGUAAUAAACAUGGCUACAGAGAAGUGGGUGAACAAUAACCAACCAUGGUCUAU
rnacentral:lncRNA from 1 species